ACUUGACCAUUGAUUGUUCUUGACUCAUUCCUUGCAAUUUUUUCCAUUUAUCAAUCACAUUAGUCCUGGCUGCAGAGAUCUCUUCUUUGACCCACAUAUCGAGCAUUUGAUCCUCUUCCAUCUUCUGCUUGCUGAUAGAACUGCUGCGGAAACUCCUCCUCAGGGUUCCUUCCAGAAAAUUGGCCCGCUUCCUUUCUAAUCUCUCCAUGGGGAUACUGGAGCCGCAAGGCAGCAAGGACCUGGAGAGUUUCUUCAGGAGCUGGGUAAUGUCCUCUAAUCACAGCUUCGUGUGCCUAAUAGAAAGAAAGGCAAUAUGUCUACAGGGAGCACGCUACAUACAAAAUCUCAAAGACUCUGAUGUGGCAGGGCAGCUGUGGAAGUGUAUUCCAAGUCAGACAAGCGGAAACAAAGAGAGACACAUUGUUACAUGACAAAGCCAAGAUGAUAAUCCCAGAUGCAAGAAAGUAGUCUUUAAUAUUAAAUAUUGGCCAAAGUGACAUGUGGAGUAUACAAUUCGAACUGUGUGUGAGAAAAAGGGUACUGUUAGCUGAAGCUUUUUUUGUUCAAAACACUUCUCAAGAGCAAAUACCCAACUAUAAUUAUGCAUGUUAUUAUAGUAGUUAGUUUUAUAGUAGUUAUAAUUAUAGUAGUUAGUUUUUAACUUACUUUGUAUCUAACUCACUUAAAUUGUUUAAAUUGAAUAUAGUGAUGUUUUUUAACUGUUUCUGUUUUAUUGUAAGCCGCCCUGAGUUCCUUCGAAAAUAGGGCGGGGUAUAAAUGUUUAAAAUAAAUA